UACAGAGGUCCCAAGCGUUGUUCGGAUUUACUGGGCGUAAAGGGUGCGUAGGCGGCGAGGAAAGUUUGAGGUGAAAUCUCCAGGCUCAACUUGGAAAAUGCCUUGAAGACUUCCUUGCUAGAGGAUCGCAGAGGAGACUGGAAUUCUCGGUGUAGCAGUGAAAUGCGUAGAUAUCGAGAGGAACACCAGUGGCGAAAGCGGGUCUCUGGGCGAUACCUGACGCUGAGGCACGAAAGCCAGGGGAGCAAACGGG
rnacentral:rRNA from 1 species